GACGUAGGGCGCGAGCGUUGUCCGGAUUUAUUGGACGUAAAGGGCGCGUAGGCGGCCAUGCGUGUCUUCCGUGAAAUCCCUCGGCUUAACUGAGGACGUGCGGAAGAAACUGCAAGGCUUGAGUCCGGGAGAGGGGGGUGGAAUUCCCAGUGUAGCGGUGAAAUGCGUAGAUAUUGGGAGGAACACCGGUGGCGAAGGCGGCCCCCUGGACCGGUACUGACGCUGAGGCGCGAAAGCGUGGGUAGCAAACGGG
rnacentral:rRNA from 1 species